rnacentral:tRNA from 1 species
AGGCUGUUAGUUUAAUAAAAACAUUUGAUUUCGGCUCAAAAACUCAUGGUUUAAGUCCAUAACCGCCUA